GGCUGUGGCUCAGUGGUAGAGCGCUUGCCUAGCAUGUGUGAAGCACUGGGUUCGGUUCUCAGCAUCA
rnacentral:tRNA from 1 species